AAAAUUGGGACAAAUGUAAUAGCAUAAUCAAUAAAACAUACUUAAAAAUAAAGAAUGCAAAAAAAAAUACUGAUGUUACACACUGAGUAGGUUCCAACUCCUUAGUCCAAUGGAGCGAGCACUUUUGUACUGGAAUUUUCUCCUAAAAAAUUACCAAGAACUGGAAACAAUGAGAGGUACAUGCUUAUUUAAUGUUGUCUUAGGCUUAAGGAUAAGAAUCUUUAAGUUCGUAUUCCUCAGUGGAUACAGUUUUCAAGCAUAAAAUUUUCCCUAAGAGUAAAUAUCCUGACCUAUUAUCUAGACUGAAGAGCCUGGAGAAUUAAGGUGAACCGGAGACUUUUCAAGUUUCACUGUAGUAUGAAAACCAUCUAAAGAGAACUAAACCCAAGUUUACUGCAUCCAGCAAGUAGCUCUAUAGUAGACCCCAACUUUGUUUUCCAGGCACAAUAUGGUAGAUUAUUAAAGAUCUAUCAGAGCUUAUUUCUCCUGUUGAGAUCUAAACUGAAUUUAGGAUUCAGUAACUAAUUAACAUAAAGAGUAGAGAGAGGACUCAUCCUCCAUUGGAGUGCUCAGCCAACACCACUUUUUCUCUAUGGUUGGUCAAGUCACACACUAUAAAUUCUGCAGGAAAGCUAACGCGUAUGACAGAUUCCUUCACUUAUUUCUACUAAGGUUUUUAAGAAGUUUAGAAUGGUAAAUGACCACAAUGAACCAAAGAAUACACUUCUGAAGAAAAGAAAUUUUUUCUUGAUAUACUUAAAUUGAAGACCGAUCUGGAAAAACAUGUGUUGCUAUAAAUCAAAGGUUUCCAGUAUAAGUUAGGUUGCAGCAAUUCAGAGUUCAAGUUGAUGAGCCUAUUUUGUGCGUGAUUAUAUUAAUACUGUGGUAUAUUUGGUACUUACAUGUUAUGAGUAAAAAGCAUCUCUACCAAAAGACUGCCAGUUAAUUAGUUGUCCCAUGUUUUUUCCCAUUAUUCUGUAAUAUUUUCAUCCAUUGAGUAUCAAUUUCUUCUUUUUAAGGUGAGACUAUUCUCUCAGCAUAUAGUGCAACCUACACUGUCAAUAUUUUCCCAAUGGCUGAGAAAAUUUUUAACUAGAAGAAGCUCUCUGGUUUUAUACCACAGAAGUUUUCCCAGCCUACUUUGUGGAACUAGAUUAAUCCCACUUCAUUCUCCUGUUUCUGUUUUCAAAAAUUGCAAAAAAUGCAUAUCACAAAUGGCAUAUAUCAAGCUUUUAUAUCUAAACCUGAAACUUUAAGAAAUAUUGUUAACCAUUCACUCCUUCAGAGAAAAAAAUGUGAUCUUGGACCACUUUUGUCACUCUCAACUGGAGCGCUUAUUACAAAUGCAAAUUUCUGGUCCCUACCCAGAUUUACUGAAUCCAAAUUUCUGAAGAGGACUAAGAAAUGUAAUUUUUCCAUUGGUUCUUUUCCUACAUCUAUUAUAAUUUAGCAUUGUGUUGUUGGUUUUUAUUUUAUCAAAGGUCAGUAUGAGGUACACAAAUAAAAUCUCUGGGGCUUUUUUAUGCUAUUGAGGACAGUUGUGUUUUAUUAUUCAAUGUUCUUCAGUGUCCAUGGAAUAAAAUCUCAGAUUUCAGACCUAGAAAAAUACAUUUUUUUGUCCUAUGAAUUGGUAUGUUUCCUUUUUUGGACUAGUGCUUGUCAAAUUUGACUAAUUCUCAGAAUCAUCUGGGUAACUUUUAAAACAUACACAGCUUCCCAGACUCCAAGCAAGACCCUUUCAUCAGAAUCUCCAGGUUAGGGAGGGUCCUUGUGAGAAUGAUAAUUAACUGUGUUUCAAAAACCCUACAUGGGACAAUAGCUAGUUAAUUCACCAUGUUCACUUUUUGUUUUGGCAUCCUGGAAGCUAGUCUUCAAACAUCUUUUCUUGGAAUUCAGUUCUUUGAUAUAAUUAUUCUCCUUUUCUUUCCCCCAUUGUAUUACUUGUCUCAUUUAGUGUCUUUAGUGAAUUUCAACUUCAGAGGAAAUAGCUUACAGUAACACUGUCCUUUGGAAAGGACUCAUGGACAUGGGUAUAAGUGGACUAAGUGGUAAUGGGAAAAAAUACAACAAAAAUUAAAUCAAAAGAAAAAAAUACUAUCCUUUGGGCCAUCAUAUUUCUUGCAAUAGCAUUUAAGCCUAAAAUAAAUCAGUUCUUUGUAUUAUAGAGUAAAAGAAUAUUGUGAACAUAAAAGUUUCAUCAUUCAGAUUUUAUGGAGGCUUCAUGGGAAAUUACUGUCUGAAAGGCACUCUGAAAAUCAUUGCUAUUAAAUGCCAUAUACAUACUGAUCCUUUUGCAGUUCAUACACAUGCUGAUUGGGUGUUCACGCUAUCGUGAGAGAUGUGCCUCCCCCAAACCUUAUUUACAACACCAGCACGUUACCCGUGUGACAUGAAGUAGAUAAUAGAUGAUAGAUAGAUAAUAAACGCCAUGUACAUAUUUAAGCUUUUGGUACCCUUUUAGUCCUUUCACUGCGGGCACCCCAAAUACUGAAUACAUUCUUCUUGUUAUAUGCCACCUCAGAGAUCUAGUCCAUGUUAGUGGUGUUAACCAUUACACCAUGCUGAAUAAUUUCCAGAUAUGUACUUGAACUUGACUCAUUCACCACAACCCAAGCCUAUAUCUUUUGCUCUCUGCAGGAGCUUUUCACUUGGCUAUCUCCCAAAGUCCAGACAUCAGUGUGAAGAAACUCAACACAUCUAAAACCAAGCUCUUCUGUUCACUCCACCACUUUAUAUUCCUAGUUACCACCCUUCCCAUCUCACCAUCUGCAUAAAUAUCACCACCAUUCUCCCAUAUCCCAAGCUGUAUUAGCCCUUGGUCACUCCUAUUUCUUUUAAUCCCCACUCCACUUAGCACAGCAAUAUUUACACUGUAAAUUGAGAAUAUAGAUUCAAUUUGAAGACCAAGAAAAUACUGGUGCUCAAAAGGAGUGAUAAAUUGCUAAGGAGGUGUGAGUGUCUUGCUUCAGAGGGACAAAGGCUAUCAGUUGUCUUAGUUUCAAGGACUUAUCCCUUUCUCUCUUGUUCCCUGGCCUAGUCUUCAUUUCCCAAAUUAAACUAAUAAUUGAUUUCCUUG